GGUGCUAUGGUCUAGGAGCAGGACGCCACGUUGUGGAUGCACAGUUAACAAAUCCAUUGGCUUCUUGGCCUUUGGAAAAGGAGACUGUUAAACCAACUUCCGUGUCAGCCCCGGUGCGAAUCCGGGUAGCGCCA